UGGGGAAUAUUGCACAAUGGGCGCAAGCCUGAUGCAGCCAUGCCGCGUGUAUGAAGAAGGCCUUCGGGUUGUAAAGUACUUUCAGAGGGGAGGAAGGCGAUGUGGUUAAUAACCGCGUCGAUUGACGUUACCCGCAGAAGAAGCAACGGCUAACUCCGUGCCAGCAGCCGCGGUAAUACGGAGGGUGCAAGCGUUAAUCGGAAUUACUGGGCGUAAAGCGCACGCAGGCGGUCUGUCAAGUCGGAUGUGAAAUCCCCGGGCUCAACCUGGGAACUGCAUCCGAAACUGGCAGGCUUGAGUCUCGUAGAGGGGGGUAGAAUUCCAGGUGUAGCGGUGAAAUGCGUAGAGAUCUGGAGGAAUACCGGUGGCGAAGGCGGCCCCCUGGACGAAGACUGACGCUCAGGUGCGAAAGCGUGGGGAGCAAACA
rnacentral:rRNA from 1 species